UCAUUAUGCACUGAAAAAUGAAAUGCACUGAAAUUUCACAAUAUUUUAGUUGAAUUUUUGAUUUUAGUUCCAUACUCAAAUAUGCAUAAACUAUAAAAAUAUACACAUGACAUUUUAUAUAACACCACACAUUUUGAAAAAAACCAAUUAAAAGCAAGUUUUAUAAUAGCUGGAGUUCAUUUGAGCAAACUUACCUUUCAAAGUCGAUUUCGCAAUGUCAUCAAGUUGGUCCAUGCUGGUAAGCUAAUUAGCAAGGUAGCUUUGAGCUCUCCUCGUCGGUCUGGUUGCACAAGAAACAUGAUAAAACAAUUUUAAUAAGGAUAACGUGUAUUAAAAACUCUGGUAUAUUGAUACAAGCACAUGACUAUUGCAUAAAUGUACUUACAAUUGUGCAAGUCUUCAAAAUAUGUCGCAAAGCGCUAGCCAGCCUGUCCGCACCAGGUCCGCACAUGGUCUGACAAGCCACACGGUGAGCGUCUCAGCUCAAUGAUGUCAUAAUCCGUCGACGGGAGUUGUAGUUCGUAGAUCGUCACAAUUUAAUCUUGAAAAUUAAAUUCAGACUCGUAGAUAUUGAAAUUUUUGUCAUAUAGUGAGGAAUGUAUGAAAAACAAAUGUUCAACAGUUAUAAAUAUCCGUUGGCCCACAAAUUUAUUUCUGCAGUCUAGGGUGCCUACAAAAUUACGUCAUCACUAAAGUGCGGAUACACUGAGAAAGGCGCAAAAAAAAAAAAAAAAAAAAAAAGAGGGAAAAGAAAAAGAACCUCUCAAAACUUUGGCCAUUUGGUGCUGGAUUCAGCUUGGAGACCUGCUUUACCACCCGACCGAGACAGCAUAAGUUGAUUCUUGGUAAGUAUUGCAUUUACUGUGUUUUGUACAUUUAUAAUAUUAUCAGCAGCUAGGUGUAACAAGAAUAACAUUCAGUUGAAAUUUGUGCAUUUUAUGUAGUCUUUUCAUGAAACCGUUUCAAUGAAGUAAGCUAUGAAAUAGUGUGAUGGCUGAGAUUUUUACUUGUUUUUACUCUUUCUGCCUCAACAGAAUCUUUUCAACUUCCAUCUACACUUCUGGACCACCUUACUGCAGUGAGAUGAUUUGGCGUUGUGUCAUAUGCUACAUUUUUGUGGCACUAACUCUGAAAAAACUACUGGGCCACAUUAAUACUAUGCACAGUCGCAGUCCUGACUUUCGUGUAGUAUGUGGCAUUGAUGGCUGUCCCAGUGAGUACCGGGUGUAUAACUCCUAUUAUUAUCACAUAAAGCGAAACCAUGCACACCACCUUCUGCAAGCUGAAGGAGAGGAGGAGGAGGAAGAGGCAUCGACUCUACAUUACUCACCAGAAACAUCCGAAAUGGCAGCAACAAUUAACCAAACAGGGGUGAGCAUCCCCGAAAUGGCCAGUUCAGCACAAGAACAUUCUUCUGAGAUUGAAAGAGGUCCACACAUCAUCAACCAAACGAGUGGAUUUCAAGAAGGUCAAGACCACAUCAACCUGUGUAAACAAGCAACCGGAUUUCUCCUUCAAGCCAGAGAAACCCAGCGCCUAACACAAAGAGCUGUUAACCAGAUGGUGAAUGGAGUCCAGCAAUACCAGGCUUCACUGUUGGAGCACCUGAAACAUCAAAUGAGUAGUGUGUUCGAGAGACAUUCUGGGGACCUGAAUCAACUGAAG